GUCCUGCCCCGAGGAGAUUCCUGUAGGACACGAGGGGGUCCUGGGUGUUGGGUCUGCUUCUGUGCAGCCACUGUUGAGGUAGCGUUACAGAGGGAGAGACAAAGAGAAAGAUUACCAUCCGCUGCUUCACUCCCCAAAUGGCCACAACGGCUGGAGCUUUUCCAGGUCUCCCAUGUGGGUGCAGGGGCCCAAGCACCUUCCACUGCGUCCCCGGUCAAAGCAGGGGGCUGGAUCAGAAGUGAGCAGCCGGGACUCGAACCGGCACCCUUAUGGGAUGCUGGCACUGCAGGUGGAGGCUUAGCCCACUACACCACAGCGCCAGCCCCUCUAGGUCUCUCUUUCUCUAAACAAUGCCUGUGUGAACCCCG